rnacentral:lncRNA from 1 species
UCUUAAUCAUACCUUAUCCUUUUUACUUAUGCAUGCCGAUCUGAGGCGAUCAUUUGUUAGUGCCGCUCCAGAGUAAUUAGCUGAGGUACUACUUCAACUGCUUAAAUAUCUUCUGGCACUCAACAAUCCACUGAAAGUCACUUGACUAUCUGAGGGUUCUAAAGAAGGGGAGACAUCUCUUAGCCAACCUGGAGACAAAGUGAUUGAGCGAGGUGAUCUUGCUAGUGAGGUGCUGCAC